rnacentral:misc_RNA from 1 species
UCUCCGUUAUCCGGAGCAGUCCUCUUAGAGUUCCCCCUUGCGGGUGGCAACUAAGAGUAAGGGUUGCGCUCGUUGCGGGACUUAACCCAACACCUCACGGCACGAGCUGACGACAGCCAUGCAGCACCUCUACACAGGUCCCUUGCGGGAAGUUCGCCUUUCGGCGAAUGGUCCUGUGCGGUUCAAGCCCAGGUAAGGUUCUUCGCGUUGCGUCGAAUUGAACCACAUGUUCCACCGCUUGUGCGGGCCCCCGUCAAUUCCUUUGAGUUUCAGUCUUGCGACCGUACUCCCCAGGCGCAGGACUUAACGCGUUAGCUACGGGACUUGCCCCGUACAGGGCAAACCCCAAGUCCUGAUGGUUUAGGGCUAGGACUAC